GAGACAGUGGGGGAUAAGCUUCAUUGUCGAAAGGGAAACAGCCCAGAUCAGCAGCUAAGGUGCCUAAAGUACGCUAAGUGGAAAGGAGGUGGAGUCUCAUAGACAGUGAGGAUGUUGGCUUAGAAGCAGCCACCAUUUAAAAAUAGCGUAACAGCUUACUCAUCGAGAGACUCUGCGCCGAAAAUGAUUGGCGAUAAGCGUGCUACCGAAGCUCUGGAUGUCAUCCUUAGGGAUGGCGUGGUAGGAGAGCGUUCCCAGUGCAGCGAAGGGUGAUGGCGACUGACCCUGGAGCGCUGGGAAGUGAGUAUGCAGACAUGAGUAACGAUAAGACCGGUGAAAUCCCGGUCCGCCGUAAACCCAAGGUUUCCCGGGCAACGUUUUUCGUCCCGGGGUUAGUCGGGACCUAAGCCGAGGCCGAUAGGCGUAGGCGAUGGAAAGCAGGUCAAUAUUCCUGCACCUCCGACCCUUAAACUGGGGGGACGCGGUUUGAAAAGUAGCUAGGUUAUUGAAUUCCGAGAUGAUCCCACGGGUGAUUCGCACUACCAGACAAACCGCCAAGAAAAGCCCCAGCAUAUGCUAAGGAGCCCGUACCGUAAACCGACACAGGUGGGUGGGUAGAGUAUACCAAGGCGCAAGAGUGAAACCUGGUCAAGGAACUCGGCAAAAUGGCUCCGUAACUUCGGGAUAAGGAGUGCCCCUUCUGGGGGCCGCAGUGAAUUGGCCCAUCCGACUGUUUAGCAAAAACACAGCAUUGUGCUAAGGCGUAAGCCGACGUAUACGAUGUGACACGUGACCAAUGCCAAAAGAUUACGGUAAGGUGUUAGCCCUCGUGGCAAAGCUCCGAGCCCAAGUCCUGGUGAAUGUCGGCCGUAACUAUAACGGUCCUAAGGUAGCGAAAUUCCUUGUCGGGUAAGUUCCGACCUGCACGAAUCGUGCAACGAGAUGGGCGCUGUCUCGACCAGGUGCUCAGUGAAAUUGUAACACCGGUGAAGAUGCCGGUUACCCGCAGAAGGACGGAAAGACCCUAUAGACCUUAACUGUAAGCUGUCACUGGUUUCUCGAUUUUAAUGCUCAGCAUAAGUGGGAGGCUUUGAACCAUUCCUCUAGGGGAGUGGGGAGCCAUCAGUGAGAUACCACCCUUUAGCAUUGGGGAAUCUAACCUCUAGCCUUUAUCAGGCAGAGGGACCAUGGCAGCCGGUCAGUUUGACUGGGGCGGUCUCCUCCUAAAGAGUAACGGAGGAGCGCGAAGGUAGGCUCAGCGCGGUUGGCAAUCGCGUUUCGAGUGCAUUGGCAUAAGCCUGCCUAACUGCGAGACUUACAAGUCGAGCAGAGACGAAAGUCGGCCAAAGUGAUCCGGCGGUGGAAUAUGGAAUCGCCGUCGCUCAUCGGACAAAAGGUACCUUAGGGAUAACAGGCUGAUCGCGCCCAAGAGUUCAUA
rnacentral:rRNA from 1 species